GGUGGAGUGGCCGAGCGGUCUAUGGCGCUGGUUUUAGGCACUAGUCUGAAAGGGCAUGUGUUCGAAUCCCACCUCAACCU
rnacentral:tRNA from 1 species